rnacentral:lncRNA from 1 species
CAAAUUUAAAUAUUUCUGCUCGAGACUUUGAGGCAUCAUUCUGACUCGAAGUUUAGGAAAGUACACAUUAAAGUUAGUACAAAACUUCGCUUUUAUGAAAUGUUUUCGAAAUAAAAUAGUUAUGCCAUGCAGAGGGAAAGGUCAGUAUUAAAUUUAGCUAUUUUCUAAACGUUUUUGAGUUGUUCUUGUUAAGAUAUUGCUGUUUUUAAAACACGUCUCUAUAUUCAUUGUAGUACGUAUUCAAUUUGAUUCCCAUUCAAGCGUUUCGUUUCAACGCUUAGUCGCUUUAUUUUCGCAGUGUCUCUUCCUAAUUUCCUAGCAGUAAUGUUCAGAAAUACCCCAGCUUUGAUUCAUUUAACUCAUAUUUAGUUUAUCUGCAAUUUCAGGGCGAAAAUUUGAAGAGAAAGUGAACUAAUUUAAGUCGCCGACAUGGUCGAAAUGCCGAAGCACUUGGUAAGCAUAAUGUCCAUUAAAGGCGUUUCCUUCUCGUUUGUUUCUCGUUUUCAAGAUUCCCCAGUACACCUAGAAUGUCUUCUAGCAUUGCUUUGUGGCAUUACGAACACUCUGAGUCAAGUUUAGUUACAAUAUUGGCGAAACUUCUUUCCAUACCGAGCGAAUUGCCGACUUAAUUUAGGCAUGUUCAAUUUCACAUGCAGGCGCGGCAUGCAUAUAAUUUUCGAACAUUUUAGCCUUUACAAACUUGUCGUUUAUGUACAAAUUGUUCUCUGUGAGAAAAGGCUAAGCUUUUGAAUUUCUUGAGGUUGUCUAAGUUGAAUUUCAUCCAAUACUUUUACGAAAUGUAGAGAUGAAAUGUCCACGUGGUUCAUGCCCUAAUUUUAUGCAUAAAUGCACGCAUUCUUUAAAAUUAAAGUAAAUUGAACUGGACAACCCCACUAUGUGUAAAGGCAUAUAAAAUAACUCUUCGCUGUUUUGAAACUAAAAAUUCAUUGUCCAAUUUUUUAGACUACCUCAAAGUCGAUCAUUUCGAUGGCAAACAGCCACAGAAAGACCUCUGCACAGAUUUGAAGAGUUGCUUGGUUAACAGUCGAAGCAAAACGAGAAAGCAAAGGACAAAUGAAACCAGCAAUUCAACUGCCUGAAAACUACCAGUGAAACUUGAUACCCUAGCCUGGCAGUGGCGGAACGCUCGAACGCAGAUACACCCAUCCUCAUCAGAUUUCGUUCAAUCAGUCAAUUGUGAAUGAGAUGCAAAGACCUGCAAAGCGACAGUCGACGCCGUACCAUCCAGAUACCAUAACCAAUACGCCAUACCAUCGUGAAAGUUGUUCUACAUCACAGAAGGUAUAUUUCUCUCGUGAUUCUCGUUGUGCGUGUUCGAAAGUACGUGGGGGGCCACCCUGAAGACGCCCAAAUGCACAAAACAAAUUUAAAUGUGGCACAUUUCCCUUAAUUUCGCAAUUUAUUCAAAUUUUCUACAUUUCUUGGUAUUUGUGAAAAGCUCUUAACGAAAUCAAAAUGCUUGAAAUUCGGAAGUUUGUAUCUGAGAGUUUGUUUAUUUGAAAGAUAUUUGAAAUGAAAUUUUGAAGUUUACAUCACUUUGGUAUUUGGUUUAAACGCUAGGUAAAAUCAUGCCAGAUGAGUGGUCGAUCAUUCGUCGAAGUUCGGUGAUAUUUCGGUUCGGGCUUUCCCGACCUACAGUUGAGUUGCUCUGAUCGAUUGUCGUGGUCAACUAGCGCAAAUGUAAGGUCUGGCCAACCUUGCGUUUGUGCUUUUUGUUCGUGGCAUGAGAUUGGGACAGCUCGCCUAUAGGCCUGGAAAGAUCAAGCCAAAGUACCACCAAACUUUGAUUUGUGGCCGGCUUUUUGUCUGUAUGGCUUUAUCCAGUGUUUUCCCGUUAUCAUUUUGAUGUUGACUUUGGGAUUUUGGCUUGAAUAUCUUUAAUAUAAACAUUCUUUGAGGUUUAAUCUUUCAAGAAUUUCAUGGGUUUUGACUAGUUAAUGUGUUUUUCGUAGAUACUAUAAUUGUAUUAAAAAUAUUGACCAAAAAAAAACAAAAACCUGACCAAAACGUCAUUUGAGGUGUCUGAUGGGAGGUCCAGUGGGAGUCGUAGCGGAUACCAAUGGAUAAAUACGGAUUACUGUGACACUGUGUACUAUUGAAGAUAUUGUGAACAUUUAUGCAUAAUUGUGAACGUUAAUGGAUUACAACAAACAAUUAUGGAUUAUGAACAUUUGUGGAUAAAAUGUACCUCGCGAUCGACGGUUACCUACCAAUGUACCUUGACGACGAAAGCUGAACGACAGCAACGAGAUGACUGCCUCAAGGUUAGAGGGUUUAGUCUGAUAACAAGCAGUAGAUAGCUUGUUAUCAGGCAGUAGUUAGCUUGUUAUCAGCCAGUAGUUAGCCUGCUAUCAGGCAGUAGUUAGCCUGCUAACAGGCGGUAUAUCUGUAGGAUUCAUACCCAAGACUCUAAUUUGCAUGUUGUCGGUGAAGUCUCUGGGUUAAUCGGUUUAAAAUUCCUGGCGGUCUGUGGUUAGUAGUACAUUUGCACGCAAGGUUGAUUUUUUAUUCGGAUGUUUGCAUGCUAAUAAAAAAAUGAGAUUUUGACCUCAAUUAAUCAGAAUUUCGACAUCAUCUGAAUCGAAAGUCAAUCUUAAGAGGUUAACAUUUGAGCUUCCGGUCACGUGGUUCUUUGCAUGCACUCGGUUCGGUUACUGGUGGGUUUCAGUAAGCGUUACAAUCCAGACGAUGGAGCAAUUUAUUUGUUUCAAACACUUCCUGGAGCAAUUUAUUUGCUUCAAAUACAAGACUACUACAUAAAGUGAAAAGGAGUGAACAUUAUUUUUUCACUCUAGUAACUCGUAGUGAGACCCACUAGUUAUUUGCAGUCUGUUCGUGCCAAUGUUGUUCUCUUUGUGUAAAUGUACUGCUUAGGUGUCUCCGUGUCUGUGCAUGAACGCAACGCGCAGCAGAAUCCAGAAUAUAGGCAGACAAGUAAAACUUUGACAGACUUUAAAAUUUUGUUUAUAUCGAUGUGUUAUGUUCAUAAAUGUAUAGAAAUAUCAUGAAAUGUGUUAGGCUUUGGCUUGGGGUUAAAUCUAACCCUAUAACCUUAACCUUAAUCCAUUACAUGAUCUGUAUGUUUGUGUACGUAAUAUAUGGGUGUAGCCAAACUUUUGUUGAAAAGCUGGCAUAGUUUUCCUUGGGUAGGAUAACUAAACUGGGUGCAAAUGGUAUCCAUAGCUUAGAGGGUGCAAAUGGUACCCGUAAGAAGAUUGGUGGAUAUCGUUGUGGGCAAGAUUUAUUUGAAAGAUGUGGAUUUUCUCCGGGUACUCCGAUUUCCACCUACAGAAAGAUCAGCUUAGGACUGUAAUGAAAUAAUUAUUGUAAUGAUAAACAGUCUGGGCUUUAGUGAAUAAGGCCGUAGUGCAUGUAUAUCGCUGGUUUCGAACGUUGGUUUUCUGUGCCGGGUUAUAUGAAAACAGUUCGCUACCAGAGAUUAGGUUCCCUCUCUGUUAUGGCGGUUCGACGAUGGAAGACAUUACCAUAAGGCAUGCAAACCUUACCCCUGUUUGUGGAAGCUCAUCAGGUGCAACCGGCACACUAGGUUAAGUUAAGUUAAGUUAAGCUAGGGGCAUGAUCGAGACUCCACAUUCGGGGGUUUCCCUUGCAGGUUUUUGAAAUGAUAUGUGCGCGCGCACUAGUUAGGAAGGUUAGACAGCUAGAAAUAGCGCGCUUUGCAUGUAUACUAUAAGGCAUGUUUACUAUAAUUCAUUAUCAUCAUACUUUUGCGCCAGUAACAUUCUGAGAAGUAUUUAUAACACAGCAGGAAAAUGGAAUCUGUCUUCCUGUUGAAAAAUACUUACAGAAUCAAUUCAAAGUGGAAAAAAGAAAAUAUUGCGAAAAAGAGAAAUAAAAAAGAAAAUAUUGCGAAAAAGAGAAAUAAAAAAUAUUGCGAAAAAGAGGAAUAAAAAAGAAAACCGCGAAACCACUUUGAAUAUAAGCAACAAUAGUCCAAGAAUACUUGUUGCAGAAAAAACAACAAAAAAGAAACAAUUUUCUGCCAAGAUAUCUUGGAUUAGGAGCUUAACGAUAAGAAACGUAGUUCUCGCUCCAAAGUGGAGAAUAGGCUCGUUUCUUUAGGUUGCUAAUGCAUUGCGCGCGCGCGCUUUAUAAAUUGUACUAUAAGUUUUCAGCCGAAAAGACCGCCAGGAAAAAUAGAGUGUUUUCACGUGCUGCUUUGUUGACGGACAAGUAUUUUUAAAUAAUGGUUUUCUUGUUAACUUUUAUUUCGGCACUUUAACUUGUUCCCAAACAUAGCCGCCGUGAAAACACUCUGCAGAUCAAGUUUAUAUAUGGUCAGCGACAUAGAAUGUUUGCCAUGUUGCAUUCCGUGUUGUCUUACAUUCAUACAUACGCUUGGUCGAACCAUGGAUCAUAAAAAACACCAUGGUCGUGCGCAGCUAAUUAACAUAAGCGGCGCGCGCGCGUGCUGCUGUAAUGCGGAGUACAGUCAGUGAGUGUACUCCAUGUGCAAAUAGUGACGUUGUGCUCUAUAUAGUCUUGACUUGAAAAAUAAAUUAAGGUGCAUGUUCAUUAGAAUUAAGUGCGCAACGUUUCAUGCAAAUAAAAUUAAACGCGCUCUGAUGCAUGCUUAGUACAAUUAAGGGCAUGAAAACCAGUGCAUGCUAAUUUAAAUUGAGUGCGCGCGUUGCAAUUUUCUUGCGCGCGAUAAAGCAAAAUGCAGCAAAAAUCUAAAAUAUAGAAAUGCACACAUCACAUCUUCAAAAUGCAUCCAAGUGUCCUAACAGCUUUUACAAACUAUAGUUAGUAAAAUGUGUUGGGUCGUUGGAUUCAUUUGCCACGCACCUUGUCCUGAACAUAUCUGAAAUAUUUUCAGGUUUCAAGAUUAAGAUAAAUAUACCCUUACAUGGAACAAUUUGUUCAUAAAAAGAGAUCUAUUUGUCUUGCGCAAUCUGUAGACUGAAUUUUCGGGUGGUCUACAAUUUUUUUUGAACAUCUCGUGAGAUUUUUUU